UGGGGAAUCUUGCGCAAUGCGCGAAAGCGUGACGCAGCAACGCCGCGUGCGGGAAGACGGGCCUUCGGGUUGUGAAAUCCGCACUUUCAGUUGGGGACGAAGCCCGUCCGGUUAACAGCCGGCGCGGGUGACGGUACCUUCAGAAGAAGCCCCGGCUAACUACGUGCCAGCAGCCGCGGUAAUACGUAGGGGGCAGCGUUGUCCGGAUCAUUGGGCGUAAAGCGCGUGUAGGCGGCUGGGUAAGUCCGCUCUGAAAGCCCGGGGCUCAACCCCGGGAGGCGGGUGGAUACUGCUCAGCUCGAGUCCGGAAGAGGAGUGUGGAAUUCCUGGUGUAGCGGUGAAAUGCGCAGAUAUCAGGAGGAACACCGAUGGCGAAGGCAGCACUCUGGGACGGUACUGACGCUGAGACGCGAAAGCGUGGGGAGCAAACA
rnacentral:rRNA from 1 species